UUCACAAAAUCACAAAAUCUUCAAUUGGCCAUAUCUUUUUCGUUUCUUAAUGGAAUUGAGCGAUUCUCGUGGCCACGUAACGAGGAAAGGAUCUUCUACUAGAUUAUGGCUUCAAUUUGAGGUGAUUAGGAGCAUGAAUGAAGGAUUUUGAGGAUGAAAUUGAUGGUAAACCUUUGGCUUAGUGUCACCAACCAAGGUAGUGACAAGCUACGGAUUUGACGAUUUUGGCUUAGAGAGUUCGGCCAAGACAAAGGAAUGAUGAAGAUUGGAUAGCGAGGUUGUUUGCUUUCAGGUACCUAGACUCUGGACUUGGCUAGAAGUCCAUUCUUUGAUCUGAAGUAAAUCUUGACGUGUGAAGUCCAGACUUCCGUAGUUGCUGCAGUAGUGUCUUGUCUGACCAGAGUUGUGGUCAAGUACAACUUUUUGAUACGUCGGUUUUCAUUUGAUGUCUUUGUAGUUAUAUAUGUUUUAUACACGGAAGGUGAAUACCCUUGAUGAUAUGGUUUUAAACACUAUUAUGUAUCGGGCUAGUACGUACAUGAUACGGAAACAGUAAGCCCAAGUAUUUUGUAUCAAUAAGUUACUAGUGUAUAAAGAUGAGUAUAUGUAUAUGCUUCCGCUAUGAUUCCAAUGUA